ACCCUCAGCCCCACGUCGUUGAUCCCGCGAUGACGCCCACCUCGGCGCCGGUACCGACCCCGACCACGGCGUCGGGACCCAACAACCCGGUCGCCAUGAGCCAACUGGGAACCGUCUAUGCCACCAAGAGGCGACGCAGGAACGGAAAAAGCUUGAAACCACCGCAAAAGGAUGGGGUGACGAAAUCGAAUCCCAGCAAGCGACAUCGGGAGCGAUUGAACGCCGAGUUGGACACUUUGGCCUCGUUGCUCCCGUUCGAGCAAAAUAUCCUCAGCAAGCUGGACAGACUCAGCAUCCUCAGACUCAGCGUCAGCUAUCUUCGGACGAAGAGCUAUUUUCAAGUGGUGAUGCACAAAGACAAGGAAGAAAAUUCUCACCACGAUUCUCACUAUCGGGCGAGGGAGUUGGCGGCGUUCGCCGCAUACGACCAUCAUCAUCUCGACGGCGAAAUGUUCCUGCAGGCGCUGAACGGGUUCCUGCUCAUACUCACCUGCGACGGGGAAGUGUUUUUCGCCACCCACAGCAUAGAAAGUUACCUUGGUUUCCAUCAGUCCGACAUCGUCCAUCAAAGCGUAUACGAGCUGGUGCACAGCGAGGAUCGAGAGGAGUUGCAAAGGCAGCUUAUGUGGAACUCGUUCCUUCCCAGUGAAAGUGCAAGUCUGCCUUUGCACGACGCCCUUUCACCCCAACACAGUCACCUUUUGGAGCGAAGCUUCACUGUCCGCUUCCGGUGUCUUUUGGACAACACGUCCGGUUUUUUGCGUUUGGACAUCAGGGGACGAGUGAAGAUACUGCACGGUCAGAACAGGAAAACGGAGGAGCCACCGUUGGCGCUGUUCGCCCUGUGCACACCGUUCGGCCCGCCCUCGUUGCUCGAAGUCCCGCAGAAGGACGUGAUGUUCAAGAGCAAGCACAAACUGGAUCUGGCGCUCGUGUCCAUGGACCAACGGGGGAAAAUGUUGUUGGGCUAUUCGGACGCCGAACUAGCAAACCUUGGCGGCUACGAUCUAGUCCAUUACGACGAUUUGGCAUACGUGGCGAGUGCCCACCAAGAACUGUUGAAGACGGGGGCCUCGGGGAUGAUAGCGUACAGAUUCCAGAAGAAAGAUGGCGGAUGGCAGUGGCUGCAGACCAGCUCCAGAUUGGUCUACAAGAACUCUAAACCCGACUUCGUAAUCAGCACUCAUCGUCCCCUCAUGGAGGAGGAGGGCAGAGAUCUGCUGGGCAAACGAACGAUGGACUUCAAGGUUAGCUACCUGGACGCCGGUCUCACCAACAGUUACUUCUCGGACAGCGACAGCCUGACCGGUUCGGUGAUGACUCCGACCCUCCCCAGCCAGCCCACGUCCCAGAGAGUGAACAGGCGGUACAAAACCCAAUUGAGAGACUUCCUGUCCACCUGUCGGAACAAACGUACCAAACUGUCCGCUCAAUCGUCCGUCUCCCCGCCCGCCACACCCACCGUCGCAUCCGUGGACUACCUCGCGGCCGAUACAAGCGCCGCCGCCGCGGUCGCAGCGGCAUACAGCAACCUGAACACCAUGUACCCGACCGCUUACGCGCCCACGGCAGUAGCAGCGACCACGGAUCCCUCCUUGACCACGUACAUCGGCCACACGGGCAACUACCACCAGACUUUGUACCCUGCAACCGCGUUGGACAACAGAUACCUGACCGCAGCCACGGAGAACCUGUUCCAAUACAGGCCCCUGGGCACCUACUACCCCGAGUACCACACGAGCACGGCGUACAACGGUUUCAUCGACGUCCCCCUGCCUACGUACGAGACCCACCAACUGGCCAGCAAAGCCGAGGAGAAGCUCUACUGCCAGCAAUUGGGCGAGUCGCCCAAGUACAGCUACGUGGAGACGAGACACGCUAGCAGCGUGAGCGGCUCCCCGUACGCGUCUAGCCCCGUGGCAGCGACCGCCUCGACCGCCAUGCAACAGCAACAACAGCAACAACAACAGCAACAGCACACCACCGACAUCGGUAUAGUUCGAGCCGGUAGCAGACACUCCCUGGAGGGUGGGCCAGGCUCGUCCAGCAAUUCCGCCGGGAGUUCGCCGGUGACCGGCGCCACGAACGGCGUGCUCACGCCGAAAAUAGAGGACGUGAAGCCGGAAGUGUACGGGGGCGAAGCGCCCCGGCAAACGGUGCUCAUGUGGGGGGCGCCGCCCGCCCGCACGCCGCCCAGGAACAACGGCAGCUACAGCCCACCCACCCCGCACUCCACCCACUCGUCCACCCACUCGACCAACGCCACGGGGGGCGGGGGGGAUCCGCUCAAGUCGUUGGCGGAAAUGAAUUCGAUGAACGGGGAGUGCAAAUGGCGGCAGGCGUCGCCCGGCGAGCAACAGGGCGCGGCGCCGCCCGGCUCGCCCAGGGCCAAGGCGCAGCCGCAACACCAACAGCAGCAACAGCAACAGCAACAUCAUCAGCAGCAACAGCAACAGCAGCACCAACAGUAUCCGGUGACCACGUCUCAGUAUCAAGCGGCGGCGGCUGCAGCGGCCGCGGCCGCGGCAGCGGCGGCCAGCACUAUCGGAUACGCGCACUCGCAUCCAGGCCACGGGCACGGGGACACGGGCUCCGAGGUAUGGCAAGGAGUGCAACACCACCACCACUACCAGUACUAUCCUUACCACCAUCACCACCCCGCACCACCAAGGCACGCGCCCCACACGCCCCCGUCAGCUGUGGGAACAACGGGGACAGGGGUCGGCAUGGGCAUCGGGCAGGACAGCAGCACCAGCAACAGCAACGUCUUGUACCACCCUCCGCACCACCACCACCACCCUCAGCACCAACACGCGGUGGGAUCAUCAGCGGCGGGAAUGGGGCCAACUGUCCCUCAGAUUCCAAACCGGACACCGGGAGUCCUUUGCUGUCCAUCUCUGAGGUGACUAACACCCUGCUCAACCAAUAGCCUCCUCGUCACCUCGGCAUCGCUCCGUUUCAGUGAUCAAGGUAGUAUCUCUCAGGAGGAGAUGGUUUCACCGAGGCGAAUCGCAAAACGCGUGACUGUACCAUACAGAUAAUACCGGUUAAAAGUCGAAGAGCGUUUCCCCGCUAACUCGUUACAGUUUGUCACCACGCGUUGUUAAGUUUUCACGAGGUUGUCCUCGGAUCGAAUGAUCGUCGUGAAGUAUUUCGAGUAUUUCGAAAUCCCAUCGCUACGAGUCGAAUCGUAGCGAAAUCGCGUGACGAUUACAGGGAUGUGUAUCUCCCUGCGCGCAGAUGCGCAUUCGAAACGAGAUCGGUGGAGGAUCGACGACCGAUUUUCGAAACCGUUCGCGUGGCAAGUUUGAUGGAGAAUGAUUGACAGAGAAUUUCUGCGAACCGAACGAUCGUAUGUAAUUUAAAAGGUACGCUCGAAUGAACGAUAAACGCGGAGCGUGGCUAGAGAUUCGUUUUCCUCCGACCGAUUUUUCGCAAAAUCGUAACUUUUCCUGCGUGUAAUUAUCAGCAUAAACAAAAAAGGUGGUCCCCUCCUUUCCUUCCACCGUGAAAUAUAUAUUCUCAGAGAAUGCAGUUCCUUGCUCCGGGUGAACGGAGAUAGCCACGCUUCUUAACCUUCGUACAGAUUCGCAUAGAUUGUAUUAUUUCGUCGAGGAGCACAAAAGAUAUAAAUAGAAAAUCCGCCUCGAUCGAGAGAAAAAAAAAAAAAAAAGGAGAAACGCAACAUUUAAACGCGGAAUUUAGUUUUUUUUUUUUUAAUUAGGCCUAAUAUCGUGACAUACUUUAUUUCAUUUCCUUGUUUCGAUGUCCUUUUUCGCGAUGUUUUUUGCGAACGUUCACGGUGAUAUAUGUUCCGAAAAAAAGAAAAGAAAAGAAAAAAGUAGGGAGGACUCGCGAGGGGGUGGUUAAUUCGCGGUGUGAUCAUUUCUUCUUUUUUUUCAAUGGAGUACACACGAUUUCUGUGAUAUGUGUUAGGUGUAUUUUUAAAAGUGCGGUAAUUUCUGAAAAGGAUGUUUUAAGAUUUAGAAGAGAAAAAAAAAUGGUACCCCGCGCAAAAAUCGACUUUGCCGCGCUUGUACUUGUGCAGGAAUCGAGUUAUACCUUCGCGAUGUAAUAUUUUAUUCGAACUCGAUGGACCAAAGUGAAAAAUGAAAAAUGAAAUGAAAUUCAAUAUCGCAUUUGGCGUUAUCGAGCAUUCCUUUCUAUUUAUACGCAAAAAUGGAUAAUGAAUCGUGCAAUUCGAUCCCUGCAUCGCAUCGUUUGCAUCGUUUUCCUUUGUCCGAAGAAAAGUUGUCGAGAGACAGUUGCGUAUUCCGUUAAACGAAAGAAAAGAAAAAAAAGAGGAGGAGGAAACAAUAGGGAAGGAAUGGGGGCGGGGAGGGACUUUUGAUCCGGCCGAGCCUCGAGUCUUGCCAAUAGUUCUUUUUGUUGAUAAGUUUGUAAUUUUUGUACUUAAUUAAUUUAUACGGCUAUUUAUGUACACGCGCGGGUAUAUCGACGAGGGUCUGGCGAAGCCUGGGCCGAGCCUUCCAUAAUUUUAGACGCGUUACUCUUAUUUCGCGAUAACGUAACGUAACGUGCUCGAGGAAACGAGAAGACUGCGCGAACGUCAGAGGAGGGGGCGGGAAGGGGAGGAAGUGUGUCCGCUUGGAAUAUAUUCUCCGGAGACAAAGAGAAAGAGAGAAAGGAAGAGGAACGAAGAAAAAAGAAGAAAAAGGGAAGAAAGGAAAAAUCGUGAUUUUAUUUUUGCGCAUACAUAUCAGAACGAAAGAGGGAGAAGGAGGGUGGCGUCGUCCUCCUUAUCCUCCCUAUCCUCUUGCAAUUUUGAUUUAUAUAUAUAUAUAUAUAUAUAUAUACACACACACAUACAAACACACAGACACACACUCAUACACACAUACACACAAAGAGAUAUAUAUGUAUACAUAAAAGAUUAUAUGUAUAUUGUAUUAUUUUGCAGGUUAGGAACGUUUCAACACGUUUUCAAACGAUUUAUCGAUUUCUACGGCUACCGACGAAAAAAAAAAAAAAAAUCUCCUCUCUUUUUUUCCUUCCGAUCCCACGCAUCCUUUUUCCAACUUCUUUCGAAUUACAAUUAUAUCUGCAACCUUCUUCUACCUACUUCGUGUCGUUGUAGUAGUUGUAUACAAUAAUAAUACGAAACUAUUUUGCUAUUGAUUCUUUGUAAAACCAUCCAGUCCGUUGAUCGGCUUUUCGCGACACAGGACGAAAAUUCGCGAUUCCUCCAACACUCGUUACCGACCCGUCCGCGAUCGUUACGUUAAUUAUUUCCAAGGCGAGGACGACGAGAUCCUCCGAUUUCUGUCGUUUAACGAAAUUUUGAACGGGUCAAAGAGAAGAAAGCGACAAUAUCGACAAUAAGAGGAGAUCGGAUUUUGCUGCAAACGUGUGUGUCAAUUUUUCAACUUUCCGUUUGAGAUGAGUAAUCGUGAAUAUAUCCGUUAGAGAGAGAGAAAUGAUGAGAAACGAGGAGGACCGUGUCGGUAACGAGUCUCGACGAGGAUCCACACUGUAAAUUCACAUCUUCGACCGUAACAGCUUGAAACUACGUUUCUUUGCAAUAUUCGUAUGAAGAUCUACUAUUGAAUAAGUACUUGAGUCUAGUCCAUAUAUAAAGCGAAUUAAUGAUAUAUCUACUUAUGCCUAGGUUGUAAUAAUAUUCUCACGACGCAACCCUUUGCCGACAAUCUUGCUUGGUAAACGAAUUACCUCUCCACUGUACACAUGUAUCUAUACAUUAAAACCGCGUUAACAAUCCUGAACGAUCAUUCGUCGAUCCUCGAAUCGAGAUGAAAGGUGCUUACGCCGUGUCUUUAUCCGAAUAUAGAUAAUUUGCGAAUACUUGGACUGUGUAUUAUAUUUUAUCGAGUAGGAGGUGCGAUCAGAAAUUCUGCCUUCCUUGAUAUUUUUUUCAAUUUCAAAAAAAAAGAAGAAAAAUAAACACGAGUCGAUUUAAAAUUUUUGCGAUUCGAGGAUCGACGCCUGGCCUUCGACCCCUUCUUAUUUGGAUAGAGUAGUGAGAAUAUUCUGACAAUUUAAGCGCACAUGUAUAUUUACUGUAUAUUUAAAGUAAGAUAUCUUCUAACAAGCAUUAGAUAAGAUUUAGUCGAUAUAUAUAUAUAGACGAUUCUCCCCCAUAGUUAUCCACAUAGAUCAAAAUACGUACCUUAUUUUAUAGCGACCGGUAUCUGCAGACAACAUGCAAUUCAAUCGUCGUUCUAUCGGGUUUGAUCGUAUACAAAAUGUGGAAAAUUUUUAUCGUUCCCUUAUUAUUAUAUUUACAGAUCGAAUGCGAAAGAACGUUCGAUCGCGAUCAAUAAGUAUCACCUGUGUGCCUGUUUCGAUCGAGAGGACUAUCACAGAUCAGUAUGAGACCAAUAUUUGUUGAUUUCUUACGAUGUAAAAAGGAAAAAAACAAAAAAAAUUAAGAAAAAUACUAUAGCACAUAUCGAGAAGAGAAUUGAAAUAAAUAUAAAUAUAUAUAUAUAUACGUAUAAGAUAAAUAUCGAUUCGAUCCUCUUUUUUCGAAAAUUUCGAAAUGAGAUGAAAAAGAAGAUUAAAAAAUUAUAGAGUUAAAAAAAUAUACAGUUACAUAUCAACUUUUUAAGAUCUAAAAUUUGCUCAAUGAAAAAGAGGCAAAAUUUACACUUUGCAGAUAUCUCGUUACUUGUAAAUUUAAUUGAGAUUUAAUUCUUGGGCUUAAUGAAUGAAUUUAAAAGGAAAAGAGAAGAAAUAAAAAAAUAAAAUAGAAUAAAAUAUCUAAGUCGUUAAUUUCGAUAGAUACAUAUCUCAAAAAGCCUGGUCCUCUGGCAGAAGAAAACACGUUGCAUUCUGUUCUGCAGAUGUUCUUUUAUAUAUAUAUAUACAUAUCCGAAUGUAUCAAAGUGAACACGAUAAUCAUGCCAAACCAAACUUUGAACUCUCCUCGAUCACUCCAUCCAAUUUAUCUCCGAUAUUAUUCUAUAGAACCUAAUUACUUAUUAACACUAAAAACUACUAAAUACUAAGCUCUACGAAAUGAAAUUUUAAAACUGUAUCAAAUGUUUAUAUGAAAUAAAUUAUAAUAAUGCAA